AAAAACAGCCGGGAACUGAGGAAAGGACAGAGAAGAAAGAGGGAAGGGAAGUGGGUGAAGAGAGAGACAUGAAAAAGGAAUGGGCAAAGAGGCUACAAGAGAAGAGAAAGGAGAAGCCCAGAGGAAGUGGAUGGGGGUAAGAACCUGGAUGGAUUUCUUUAGCUUCAGGUAGAAUUCUGAUUGCCUUUGUCAAGACGUAGGCAAAGCAGCCAGGUGUAACGACUAGGGGGUAAUAAUGGAGGCAUUUGUACAAUUCAGAAAGGAAAGGGUACAAGUGGCCGUAGCUGUGAGGUGGCAUCAGCUUGGUUUUCACCUUUCAAGAGACGACAUUGCACUUGGUCCGAUUUCCUUUGAUUGGAUCAUUGCAGCUUGUCUGUCAGAAGUUCUUAUUGUACCACUUCAGUAGUCAGAGAAACUGUUCCUAUCAAGAGGUAAGGGAAGCACCUUCUCCUAGCAAUGGAGUGAAAACAAAUCAAUCUGAGUGCACUUUGAGGUGAAGGAAGUGAAUCUAUCCUUUGCUGUCAAAGGCUACAAGCAGUUUCGUCAGAAAAAAGCAAUAUACAGAACCAAAGCUUCUGAGAGGUUACAGAAAUAUCUACUUCUUCUAGUCAAGAAUAAGGAAGCCACUUAUACCUACUAUAUUGGUAAGAAAACAGCUGAUUGUAAGGAGAGAAAAAGAAUAAACCCAUACAGCCAUUCAUCCCACAGCAGGUCAUAUUUUGAGAUGCAAGGAUGACAGAUGGCUGUAGGAUACCGGAAGGAAUCAGCGGAUCCAUCCCUUUAAGGAGGUAAGAAAUACAAUACACCAUUGCCAUAACAGUCAAUGGUUCUGGUCAUACUUUCAGGUGGAAGAAAUGUAACGGAUGAAAUCGUCACCUCUCAAAAGGGCACAAGAAGUUGCUGUCCUGAAUAAUGCAAUAAAAAACUGGGAGUUACCUGUUCAGAGGUAAGGAAAGUCGGUAAUUCUAACCGAUGAUCAUGACAUCUGCUCCUUUCCCCUACCCGGCUAAUGGUUGGUUGUUCCGACAAGGAUGUAUCACAGAAAACAUGCAACUAACCAGAGUGUGAAGAUGAGCAUUUAACCUGCUCUUAUAUUUGCAGAGAUGAGUUGUCCAGCUGAUUCUCUUUGUGCAGAAUUGAUCAUUGUUGCUUAUAUAUCAAAUGUGAAGAAGAAGUCAGUGGAAUUGAUCAUUUCUAUCAAGAGGUAAGGAAUGCACCUCCUCUCAGCACAGGGGCAGGAAUAACUGGCUCUAUUUCUAUUUUCAGGUGGAAUGAAGGUCUGACCAUUAAGGGGGCGGGGGAAGAUAAGAGGUUGCUGAAUUUAAUAUACAGGUAACCACACCUGGCCAGGGGGAAGAAAAACAUCUUUUACUUCUAGCUCAGAAAGAGGAAAGCAGCCAAUUAUACGCUUAAAGUUGUAACCAGUGUAGCUGGCUGUACCUCGAAAAAUCAAAGCCUUGUGGUGGAACAUCACUGACAAGUAGGUGAGCAUGGAAAAGUCUGUAGAAGCCUAAUGAUCUGGAUGCUAUGGAACCGUUCCUAUUGAUGACUCUUCAUAACUGGUAAUGAGUAAUAAUAAAUAAUUGACAGGUUUUGCUAACUGGAGAUGUGAACAGACAAGGUGGCCGUUCCUACCAGGGAGAAGUGAGGGUAAGUGGCUGUCCCGGGCAAGGAGGUAAGAAAUACCAGUCUCUAAACAUCCAUGUGUAUAUCAAGUGGUGUGGAGUUUACUUUCAGGGAGAAGAACUGUGGUGGACCUUACUUGUCACGGGGAGAGUGUGAAAAGCAGAGGCAAGACAAAGCAACAUGAACUAGCCAGCUGCUCAAUCCAUGGAGGACUCCAAUGAGAAGAAGGUGUUAUUUCAAGGAACAACAAGCAGAAAACAAACAGUCACUUCAAAUAGUUGAGCUAGUUGCAAAUCUGAAUAGGAAGCAAGUCAGCAGAACACAGACAGGGAGAUGAGAGAAAUGCAGCUGAUUUGAACUUUGAGGGUGUGAAAACUUCAGGAAGUUGCAAGAAGAUCUGAGAUAUCUACAGGAAGGAAACAAGUGAAACUCAUCACUGCUGCCAAGAGGUAAGGAACUCACCUCAUAAUGGAGAAAUUAAUGGAUCUGGUUUCCCUUCAGGUGAAAGAAAUGCAGCUGAUCUGAUCUCCCAGGGAUUGAGGACUAUAAGCAGUCAAGUUACUUAAGAAUACAGGAACACAUGUUCCCAGACCUGCAGAGAGGGAAAAAAGUUGCCUUCCUUGACUAGAAUGGGAAGACAAUCCCUUAUCACCAUGAAGUUACGAACCCACAAUGCAGGAGACCGUCCCUGACAGAGGAGAAGAGUUACAGACAUUCAGGAUUUGAGCACAAAGUAAUAAGAAUGGAGCUGAACAGAUCCUACACCUGAAAGGACAGUUGGAUGUCAUAAGAUAUGAAACCAUGAAAAAGACCCUUCAUUCAAUAAAGCAACAGAAUUGGCUCUGAAGAGAGGUAAGAAGCAUUUGGUAAGUCUAACAAAUGAGCAUAUUAUCAGCUUUACAAAGUUGCUAACUUAUGUUGUGUCAAAGAGUUUGUUACAGCUGAUCUCAGGAUCGAAGAAGAGCUCAGGGGCAAUGCAGACCUCAGAGGAUUCAUCUUUAUCAGGAGGUGUUGAGCCUGCUUGUCACUUCUGAGUGACAGCAGUGGCUUUGGUUAGACUUUCAGAUGAAGGAAACACAGCCAGUGUGGUCAGUAUUCAAAAAACAAUGUACAAAAGUUGCCUGGGGUCACCUCUUGGGCUAAGGGGAGCAGAUGGUCCCAUCUGCUGGGAUGGAAGCAAAGAAGAAAGCACUGGCCACUGGUUAGUACUGGGACACAGACAAUCCCCUGGAGGGGCUUGGGACAGAGUGUGUAACCAUAGUGACCAAUGGGUCCCUUCCCCAAUCUGGUCCUGGCUUGCAUGCACAGGGUGAAACUGAUCGCCAUGUUUGGGGUCAGGAAGGAAUUUUCCUCCAGGGCAGAUUGGCCAGAGACCCUGGAGGUUUUUCGCCUUCCUCUGGGGCAUUGAGCAGGGACCAGCCCUUUGGGCCAUUUAGAAACUGACAAUAAAAUCCAUUAGAGAGAA